rnacentral:rRNA from 1 species
AGGAAUAUUGGUCAAUGGACGAGAGUCUGAACCAGCCAAGUAGCGUGAAGGAUGACUGCCCUAUGGGUUGUAAACUUCUUUUAUACGGGAAUAAAGUGAGGCACGUGUGCCUUUUUGUAUGUACCGUAUGAAUAAGGAUCGGCUAACUCCGUGCCAGCAGCCGCGGUAAUACGGAGGAUCCGAGCGUUAUCCGGAUUUAUUGGGUUUAAAGGGAGCGUAGGCGGACGCUUAAGUCAGUUGUGAAAGUUUGCGGCUCAACCGUAAAAUUGCAGUUGAUACUGGGUGUCUUGAGUACAGUAGAGGCAGGCGGAAUUCGUGGUGUAGCGGUGAAAUGCUUAGAUAUCACGAAGAACUCCGAUUGCGAAGGCAGCCUGCUAAGCUGCAACUGACAUUGAGGCUCGAAAGUGUGGGUAUCAAACAGGAUUAGAUACCCUGGUAGUCCACACGGUAAACGAUGAAUACUCGCUGUUUGCGAUAUACGGCAAGCGGCCAAGCGAAAGCGUUAAGUAUUCCACCUGGGGAGUACGCCGGCAACGGUGAAACUCAAAGGAAUUGACGGGGGCCCGCACAAGCGGAGGAACAUGUGGUUUAAUUCGAUGGUACGCGAGGAACCUUACCCGGGCUUAAAUUGCAGAUGAAUUACGGUGAAAGCCGUAAACCGCAAGGCAUCUGUGAAGGUGCUGCAUGGUUGUCGUCAGCUCGUGCCGUGAGGUGUCGGCUUAAGUGCCAUAACGAGCGCAACCCUUGUUGUCAGUUACUAACAGGUCAUGCUGAGGACUCUGACAAGACUGCCAUCGUAAGAUGUGAGGAAGGUGGGGAUGACGUCAAAUCAGCACGGCCCUUACGUCCGGGGCUACACACGUGUUACAAUGGGGGGUACAGAGGGCCGCUACCACGCGAGUGGAUGCCAAUCCCCAAAACCUCUCUCAGUUCGGACUGGAGUCUGCAACCCGACUCCACGAAGCUGGAUUCGCUAGUAAUCGCGCAUCAGCCACGGCGCGGUGAAUACGUUCCCG